AAAAUCCCACACUUCCUUCCCUAAAAGCGUCGUUGCUUUCUCAUCUUCCCCAAAACCGCUACUUUCUAUUCCUCCUCCAUCUUCGUAUCCCAAAUAUCCAUCACCGAUCUUUGAAAAAUAAAUGCAAUUGAACCCAAUUCUCAAGCGAAGAAUGGACGCAUCACCUUCGCCAAUCUUCAGGACACCUAAUUUUCAAGCCAAGGAAGAAGGAUCAUCUCUGAGCAUCCUCAGGAUGAGAAGGCUAAAAGACAAAAAGAAAUGAGAAAAGAAGACAAUCUUGGAUGAAUGAAGUUUAAGAAAAAAAAUUAACUUGUAUAUUUGAUUUCGAUGUAGAUUUUUGAGUUAUCCAUCAUUGUAUGUAAUACAGGAAAUGAAAUUAAUUGGAAAUACUUGUUCCUGACUUAUUCAUAGAAGUAUUUUUGA